AGGGUAUUUAUAGCCUGGAGCGUGAGGGGGCAAGGACACGCGCUUUAUUUCGGAAGUGAUAAUUCCAGCUCCAGUGUCCACCAGGCCCUCCUUGGAAGAAGCCACAAGUAAGCAUCAGGACACCCUUCACCUCAUGAAAAGCCACAGCAGAAGCCAACCAGGCUGUCUGGCCCAGGCAGCUGCCCGGCACUUCGGAGAAACUGAGGCUCAAACCACUCCAGAGAUGACAAGUCCUGUCACCUUCAGGGAGGCGGAGGCCAAAGACAAAACUUGAAGAGGCAUUGAGCUGCACUCUCCAGUCUGGGCGUCCAGGCUGAGGAGGAGGAGGAGGCAGGCCCCAGCAGGGCUGAAUGUGUAGAA
rnacentral:lncRNA from 1 species